rnacentral:lncRNA from 1 species
GAUACCAAGUGAUACCAAGAUAAUGGAUAAUCUUAUAUAUUAAUUAUAACAAAAAGAGAGGUUACAAGAGUCAUAAUAUAUAGCUAUGAGCAUAACGCUUUCAUACAUUCAACUACUAAAACAAAAUACAACAACUAAGUAACCUAAAAAGUCUAGUACAAAAUGAUCAGAUCAAUGAGAAUGGGCAUCGAGCUCAAGAUCAAGAUAAGUGAAAUAUAAUCAGCCUCAUCCUCGAUCGAAGGGUUUGGUCUGAGAGGAAGAUGUCAGAGGAUGGAAUGCAAUGGGCUGGACAAAGGCUGGCUCACU